rnacentral:rRNA from 1 species
UACGAAGGGGCUAGCGUUGCUCGGAAUCACUGGGCGUAAAGCGCACGUAGGCGGACUCUUAAGUCGGUGGUGAAAUCCUGGAGCUCAACUCCAGAACUGCCUUCGAUACUGAGAGUCUUGAGUCCGGGAGAGGUGAGUGGAACUGCGAGUGUAGAGGUGAAAUUCGUAGAUAUUCGCAAGAACACCAGUGGCGAAGGCGGCUCACUGGCCCGGUACUGACGC